UACGGAGGGUGCAAGCGUUAUCCGGAUUCACUGGGCUUAAAGGGUGUGUAGGCGGGCGUUUAAGUCAGUGGUGAAAUCUCCAGGCUCAACCUGGAAACUGCCAUUGAUACUAUUCGUCUUGAAUAUCGUUGAGGUAGGCGGAAUAUAUCAUGUAGCGGUGAAAUGCUUAGAUAUGAUAUAGAACACCGAUUGCGAAGGCAGCUUACUAAACGAUCAUUGACGCUGAGGCACGAAAGCGUGGGGAUCAAACAGG
rnacentral:rRNA from 1 species